CCUUUCUGUAAAUGCUGGACAGGACAAAAGAUUCACCAAGGACUCCAGGCAGGUGGCCUGGAAAAGAGGGUGGCGCUGGCAUGGGAGGGACGAAAACCCUUUGGGGACUGGCUGGGGCAAGUCUGGAGCCAGGGAAGGGACAGAUGCCUGGGCAGGUGGGGGCGGGGGUCGGGGGGCAGGCGGGAGAGUGGGGAGAAUCCCUGCUAGGGUGCGUCUGCAUCUGGAAAAGCAGCUCUGCCCCAGCAAGGCCUGGGGCAGCGGGAUCCUGGGGGCCUGGGGCAGGAUGGGUGGGGCUGGUGCUGAGGGCAUCUUCCUGUCUCCCAGUACCUGGGGCCAGGCAGGAGAAGGGAGCAUGGCUCUUUGGGGUGGCUGCAGCAGCCUGGCCCCUCCAGCGGCUGCACGGGAAAGGUAAUGAGGGCUACCCAUUCCCACCCCAGCCCCCUUCAGCCUCCCAGGUCCCCAAGGACAGGGUCUCCUGAGGGCCCUGGUCUGGCCUCCCCCACUCCCUAGAGGACUGCCUCUCCAAGGGCCCAAGGGACCAGGGGCCCCAUCCCACCACCCCCCAAGCCACACAGACCCUGCCCUACAAACCUCAUCAGGCUACUCAUCCGUCACCUUCCCAGAUCCUGACCACAGGUGGAUCUGAGGCAACGUGCGACUCUAACCCUGUUUUAGUUUGUUCUUAGCAUUUAUCACUACAGGAAAGUAUCUAUGUGUUUAUUUAAAUGUCUGCCUUCCUCUUCUAGAAGGAAAGCUCCGUAAGGCUGACCGGGAAAGAAGCGAGGAGCUCUGGGGGCUGGGUGGAAAGUCCCGUACUCAUCAGGGCCAGGGAGGCCACAGAAACUACCUCACGCCAGCUUCCCAGGGGUACAGCGGCUAGAAUGGACCUCGAGGAGGCCCCUCCCAAGACUCCCGUCUCCCGGGUUCCACCGCAGUGGGGGCAGCCACAGCUGCCUCUGCAAUGCUUGUAGGACCCACACACAGUGGGGCACGGAGGGGCAGAGGCCGCAGCCCCUUUGCCAUGAAUCCAAAGAACCUGGAGUGAUUCUGCAGAGACGUUCGAACCAGAGCGACUCCAUCUUGAACAGGGGCUGGGUAAAAUGAGGCCGAGACCGGCUGGGCCGCAUUCCCUGGAGGUCAGGCAUUCUUAGUCACAGGAUGAGAUCAGCACAAGAUACAGAUCACAAAGACCCCGCUGAUAAAACAGGAUGCCGUGAAGAAGCCGGCCCCAAACCACCAAAACCAAGACAGCCAGUCCUCACUGCUCAUUAUGUGCUGAUUAUAAUACAUUAGCAUGAGA
rnacentral:lncRNA from 10 species